UUUUUGAACUUGUUUAAGAGUAAAACCAAAAUAAGUUAAAAACUUAUCAGGUUAAUACUCUAUUCUUAGUUCAUUUUGAAACGCAAUUAAGCAGACAGAUCACUCCACGAACUAAGAACGGCCAUGCACCACCUAUCACAUAAUCAUGAAAGGACUAUCAUAUUUAUAUAUAAAUCUUUAAAAGAUUUAUAUUAUCGCCUGUCAAUCCUCAGUGUGUCCGGACCCGGUAAGAUUUCCCGCGUUGGGUCAAAUUAAGCCACAUGCUCCACGCGUUCUUGUGGUGCCCUUCCGUCAAUUCCUUCAAGUUUCACACUUGCGU
rnacentral:rRNA from 1 species